AAGGAGUCUAACAUAUCUGCGAGUAUUUGGGUGUCAAAAACGAGAGAGCAAUGAAAGAGAAAGUAGGAGCCACGCGAAAGCUGAAGCUUCGACCGAUCUGGAUCUUUAGUUAUGGGUUUGAGUAAGAGCAUAUAUGUUGGGACCCGAAAGAUGGUGAACUAUGCCUGAAUAGGGCGAAGCCAGGGGAAACUCUGGUGGAGGCUCGUAGCGAUACUGACGUGCAAAUCGUUCGUCUGAUUUGGGUAUAGGGGCGAAAGACUAAUCGAACCAUCUAGUAGCUGGUUCCUGC
rnacentral:misc_RNA from 1 species